rnacentral:lncRNA from 1 species
CAGUCCUCGGAGUGCCUCCCGAAGAAAAACUCAAGGCCACGUCUCCAUAGCACAAGGUCAGCAUGGGAACCUCGGACUACACCUCUGCCCCUUUGUGAAGCCGAUGUGACUCCUAAACAAUGCAGGACAGCGAUGGCAUGGCAGGAAAGACAAGGAGAGGAGGGCCGCAGAUGCUGCCCUGACGCGUGUCCCCGAGCUGUUCAGUGCCUCUGCCUCCAUGACUGGAGAGUGGCCCUGGCACCUCCACCCUGCCAGCACCAGGUGGGAACACUACCAGAGCCAACACCAAAAGGAGAGACAGGGUGUUACAUCUGGGGACAGGAAGAAGGACCUUCGGAGAAGUGCUGGCUGAAGCGACUAGACCUGGGGCAUGACUGAACUUCCAGCAGGCUUUGGAGAUAUGAUGCUCUGUAUCCCAAGAUGGCCUCCAAUUUACUAUGUAUCCAAGAUGGUCUUGAAACUUCUGAUCUCCUUGCUUCUACUUCCAAAGUGCUGUGACAGCAGGCAUGCGCCACCAUGCCCGGUGUACACGGUGCUGGAGGCUGAACCUAGGCCCUGUGUAUGUUAAGGAGGCCCUCUACCA